CCAAGACAGACUUGAAGAACACUGCUGGAGAGAAGAAGUUGACGAGAGAGAAUCUCUGAAUUUGUUGAGUGAAUAUUUAAACUCCUGUUAAUAUUGAAUCGAAGGAAACAUUUGAAAAAUGAUUGGACAUAAAAUGCUUCUGCUACUUCUGAUUAUUAGUUUGGGGAGCUGUCAAAAUACAACUCCUACAACAACCACAGCUAGUGCCGCAACAACCACUGCUGUCCCAGAAACAACCACAGCUGUCCCAGAAACAACCACAGCAGCUCCAACAUCAACAGAUGCUCCUACAACAACCACAGCAGCUCCAACAUCAACAGAUGCUCCUACAACAACCACAGCAGCUCCAACAUCAACAGAUGCUCCUACAACAACCACAGCAGCUCCAACAUCAACAGAUGCUCCUACAACAACCACAGCUGGUCCUACAACAACCACA